CUUGUUGCACUAUGAAGGUAGUUUUUACUUCAAUAAAAUUUAUAAUAAAUCCUGCAAAUUUUUCUUCUCAUUAGGUGGAAAUUCCUUUCUUUGUUUAGAUCUAGUCUCUGAUCCCUUUAAAGGAAUAUAUAGUGCUGGGGCACAUUCGGACUUCGGAUUUAUUACCUCGUUGGCGACAGAUGAUGUCCUAGAUUUGCAAGAACAAGGAUGCUAAACCUCCAAAAUGGGAAUAUGUGCAACAUAUGAGAGGAGCAUUCAUAGUGAAUCUUGGUGAUAUGCUAGAACGAUGGAGCAAUUGUAUUUUCAGGUAAUAUGCUUUAAUAAGAGUCUAUAUAGAUAGAUUGGCACGAGGAAAGCUUUGAACAUAAAGGUUGGAGAUUAUCUUAUGGCAGGCUACUAUAUAUUGUUAACCUGUCCCAAACUCCACCAGAGUUUCUUCUAUUGCACUCUCUUGGCUCUUUCUAAUAUCAGUGGCCCAUUAGUAGCGAAAGAGUAUCUACUCUUGACAUUGGUCAGGAAAAAUUUCCAUGUUAAACACGGUUGUUGAAGAUGGUAUAUGUUUUGAUGACCAACAUUAAU